AUUGGCUCUCUCACUCGGGUGAAAAUUGUCCCAGAAGGCGUAGACGUCGCGGUUGGGGCACAGGUUCGACAAUCUGGUACAUAAUCCAAGUCCAUUGUAGGGUCCUUGCCCACAACAUGCCACCUUUGAUGUCACAAAACCUGUACAUCAAUGCACUUCGUUAGGCCCAUUCAUUGAGUCCUUGAGGAGAUUUAGAGUUUGCAGAAAAUCAAACCAAAUCUUUUAGGGUUAGUGAUGAAGUCCAUGUUCAUUGAAAAAGCAUUGGCGGAAAUGAAGACGGUGGAGCCAAGCUGAGAGUUGAGUUGUUGGAUUAACUGGACCAAGAGUGGGUUGAAUAUGGCUGCUGCUCGUUGAACAUCCGGCACACAUUCCCCGUUCCUGCUCCUCAUCGCCAACUCCGCUGGGACGCAGCCUAAUGGUCCGGUGGUGGUCACCAAGACUCGUCGACCGC
rnacentral:lncRNA from 1 species